UUUAAUCCACCGUGUUAAAGGGCGAUCACGGAACUCCGUUAUGUAUGCAGAUAUUUUAUAUAUAUGAGCCACCGGUGCUUUCUGUGUAUCCUCCUUUAGGCUGUGCUCUCUGUAUCACUGGGGUCUCGCAUUCCUCUGCGUGUGUAUCUGAGUUCACAGGCCUGCGGUGGCCUGGUAUCCUUCUACAGUCGUCCUUCCCCCCUUCUGGGUUUAUGCGUCAAGUGGGCCUGUGUUGUUUUAGAAAGAGCAGAUUUUGAAACAAUUGCAUUUGCAUUAUUAGAGUGCGCUGCUGGUGUACAACAACAACAUCUGCAACUUGCAAUGCAUAUACCCUUGCAUCGUUGAUAGUCCUCUGCGUUGUUGGUCAGAGGAGUCCUCUCGGUCUGCAGUCAUACGCCAUUUAUGGCACACACACAGACACACGCGCACACACACACACACACACACACACACACACACACACACACACACACACACACACACACACACACACACACACACACACACACACACACCCUGGUCCGCGUCUGCCUUUUACCCCCGGUCUCUGGCUCUUUCCUAUAUGAUCCCUCAACAGACUCAAAGUUAUAAACCUGAUUAGACGUCAAGUGGGCCUGCGUUGUUUUAGAAAGAGCAGAUUUUGAAACAGGGAUCUUGCAUAUGUAGUAUUAGAAUGUGCUGCUGAUGUACAACAGCAACAUCCGCAACAUGUAUGCAAUGCAACACACACGCGCGCCCUGUAAUAGGGGGGAAGAGAUAAUUCUCAUUCAACUCAACUCAACUCAACUCAACAAACAAACUCUCACCCUCUCAAGGUUCUGACGCACAUUAAGCGCCGACAUUUAAUGUUGUGUUUUACCGUCCGAUUUAUUUAUUUAUUUAUGGUCUGCGUCUGCUUUUUACCCCCGGUCUCUGGCUAUUUUCUAUCUGACCCCACAACCCCUAAAGUCAUAAAGCUAAUGCAUCACGUCUUUGAAACUCGGUGUCCCAUCCCUUCUGAUAGCAUGGCCCCCCGUAUGCAGGAGUGAGAAUGUCUUCACCCCCGGUGCAAUAAGGCGAUUCCACCAGGCGCCGGGAGAACGGUUAAAAAACACAGCGUUAUAAUACCGAUCGAAGCAUGAUUAUACAAAAAUACCGCUUUAACCCAUUACACUGCAGGAGUGUUCGGAGGAGCCCUCCUUGGAAAUACAGGGUGUUAGGACAUCAUUGAGGGCUAUGUUGAUUUGUUAUGCGAAACAAGAGGUGUGAGGGUGUCCCCAGGGGUCAUUCAAGAGUCACACACUUUCUAGUAGUAUUUAGAGCGUAUAUAGUCUAAUCCAUAACAUAAUAUGAUGACGAUGAUACAAAUUACCGUUUUAACAUCGCAGGAGUAUCCUGAGGAAUCCUCAAUAUAAAAAGUGGAGAGGUGUUAAGGAGGGAUAGGGCCUUAGGAGGAGGGGGGGUCGGGGUGUUGUAAAACCAUUUGAUCAGUUUCUGGGUGACUUUUACGGAGAAACCUGGUAUAAAUACAGGCGGGGUUGAAGUGUCAGAAUCAACCCGAACCCAGGCCUUCACGCUAGAUCUUCGUCGGACGUUGAAGCAGCGGUAUGAUUCGAGGUAAAGCUCUGGCGGAUCUCAUUUCUUUGAUUCUCCUAAAAAUAUGCGCUAACAAAUUUCGUCCACGUCAGCUCCUGCAUCUCACGCCUGCGGGGCUUCGUCUGCAAGAGGGCUCUAGACUCCAUCGCCUUGCGCUACAGCGUCGCCAGAGCCAAGAAUUCCAACUGCAGUAUAGGCGGCUCAACAAGCAUUCAACGCCUUCCCGACCGGAGAGGCCCUUAGAUUCGUCGACGCUGAGAUCCAUCAGCCGCCACGGACCGAUCACACG